rnacentral:rRNA from 1 species
UACAGAGGGUGCAAGCGUUGUUCGGAAUUAUUGGGCGUAAAGCGUGCGCAGGCGGUUGUGCAAGACAGAUGUGAAAUCCCCGGGCUUAACCUGGGAAUUGCAUUUGUGACUGUACGGCUAGAGUGUGUCAGAGGGGGUAGAAUUCCACGUGUAGCAGUGAAAUGCGUAGAGAUGUGGAGGAAUACCGAUGGCGAAGGCAGCCCCCUGGGAUAACACUGACGCUCAUGCACGAAAGCGUGGGGAGCAAACAGG